AACGAACGCUGGCGGCAGGCUUAACACAUGCAAGUCGAGCGCCCCGCAAGGGGAGCGGCAGACGGGUGAGUAACGCGUGGGAAUCUACCUAUCUCUACGGAAUAACGCAUGGAAACGUGUGCUAAUACCGUAUACGUCCUUCGGGAGAAAGAUUUAUCGGAGAUGGAUGAGCCCGCGUUGGAUUAGCUAGUUGGUGGGGUAAAGGCCUACCAAGGCGACGAUCCAUAGCUGGUCUGAGAGGAUGAUCAGCCACACUGGGACUGAGACACGGCCCAGACUCCUACGGGAGGCAGUAGUGGGGAAUAUUGGACAAUGGGCGCAAGCCUGAUCCAGCCAUGCCGCGUGAGUGAUGAAGGCCCUAGGGUUGUAAAGCUCUUUCACCGGUGAAGAUAAUGACGGUAACCGGAGAAGAAGCCCCGGCUAACUUCGUGCCAGCCGCCGCAGUAACAC
rnacentral:rRNA from 1 species